ensembl:misc_RNA Metazoa_SRP Metazoan signal recognition particle RNA
GUCGUGCGCGGUGGCGUGUGCCUGGAGUCCCACCUACUCAGGAGGCUGAGAGGGGAGGACUGCUUCAGCCCAGGAGUUCUGGGCUGUAGUGCACUAUGCUGAUCGGGUGUCUGCACUAAGUUCGGCAUCAAUAUGAUGACCUCCUGGGAACAGAGGACCACAAGGUUGCCUAAGGAGGGGUGAACUGGCCCAGGUUGGAAAUGGAGCAGGUCAAAACUCCCAUGCUGAUCAGUAGUGGGAUUGUGCCUGUGAAUAGCCAUUGCACUCCAGCCUGGGCAACACAGCGAGAUACUCUCUCUA